rnacentral:rRNA from 1 species
AUGCAAAGAACUUUGAAAAGAGAGUUAAAGAGUACCUGAAAUUGCUGAAAGGGAAGCGAAGGAAACCAGUGUUUGCUGAGUCAUAUUUCUCACUUUGCUUGCAGAGUGGGCGCUGUGUCUUGGCGUGGGUCAGGCUUGGUUGGACUUGUUGGAAUCGCCCGGUGGGAGUUGACCACUGGAUGUCUGCAAUGAGUUUGACUGAGGUUGACAAAAUGGUUUUCUUUACCCCGUCUUGAAACACGGACCAAGGAGUCUAACAUAUGUGCGAGUACAGGAGUGACAAACUCCCGUGCGCAAUGAAAGUGACAGUGGUUGGACCUUUGUGGCACAAUCCGCCGGCCUCAAUCCUUCGGGAGAAUGGUCUGAGUGUGAGCAUACAUGUUGGGACCCGAAAGAUGUGUGAACUAUGCCUGAAUAGGGUGAAGCCAGGGGAAACUCUGGUGGAGGCUCGUAGCGAUUCUGACGUGCAAAUCGAUCGUCAAAUUUGGGUAUAGGGGCGAAAGACUAAUCGAACCAUCUAGUAGCUGGUUCCCUCCGAAAUUUCCCUCAGGAUAGCUGCAAUCGAAUGUCAAUUUUAUCA